rnacentral:rRNA from 1 species
AUUGAACGCUGGCGGCAUGCCUUACACAUGCAAGUCGAACAGCAGCGGACCUUCGGGUGCCGGCGAGUGGCGAACGGGUGAGUAAUAUAUCGGGAACGUACCUUUCAGUGGGGGAUAACGUAGCGAAAGUUACGCUAAUACCGCAUAUUCUGUGAGCAGGAAAGCAGGGGAUCGCAAGACCUUGCGCUGAUUGAGCGGCCGAUAUCAGAUUAGCUAGUUGGUGAGGUAAAGGCUCACCAAGGCGACGAUCUGUAGCGGGUCUGAGAGGAUGAUCCGCCACACUGGAACUGAGACACGGUCCAGACCCCUACCGGGAGGGCAGCAGUGGGGAAGUUUUAGGUACAAUGGGCGGCAAGCCUGAUCCAGCCAUGCCGCGUGAGUGAAG